CAAGUUGGCCAGACAGUCGCCGCUCAAUUUAUUGAGGGGAGGAAAGUCCGGGCUUCGCAGGGUAAAGUGCCAGGUAACGCCUGGGGGGCGUGAGCCUACGGAAAGUGCAACAGAGAAUAGACCGCCAGCUUUGCUGGUAAGGGUGAAACGGUGCGGUAAGAGCG
rnacentral:RNase_P_RNA from 1 species